AUCAAUUGGUUAGUUUUCAGUCUGAAAUGUAAGUAUAUUUUGCUUGUUAUUGUCGCUGUUUGGAAAAUGGUGUACACUAUCUAGGUAUAUAAUAGUACUGGGACUGGCCAGAACAGCUCAAAAUUAGAUUCCACACUCAGGAUCAUUAAUCAAGUCAUUUUACCUCAAUAGAAUUGUUUGAAAUCCUUUUAGAGCUAGAUUUUAUACUUGUCAUUAUAGUCAUAUUAUGUGCCAUUGACUUUCAGAGGCCACAGCAUCCUUAUUUCUUGCUGGAACAACUUUAAACUUCUGGAGUAUAUUCUUCUAGCUACUAUCUUGUUGUAAGCAAAUGGACAAGAAGCU